AGUUAAGUAAGAAAGGGCGCACGGUGGAUGCCUUGGCACUAGGAGCCGACGAAGGACGGGACGAACACCGAUAUGUCUCGGGGAGCUGUACGUAAGCAUUGAUCCGGGAAUUUCCGAAUGGGGGAACCCCCUGCUCGUAAUGGAGUAGGACGCAUAACUGAAUCCAUAGGUUAUGUGAGGCAGACCUGGGGAACUGAAACAUCUAAGUACCCAGAGGAAGAGAAAGCAAACGCGAUUUCCUGAGUAGCGGCGAGCGAAACGGAAUCAGCCCAAACCAAAAAGCUUGCUUUUUGGGGUUGUAGGACACUCUAUACGGAGUUACAAAGAAAUCUAUUAUACGAAUCGAUCUGGAAAGAUCAGCCAUAGAAGGUAACAGCCCUGUAAUAGAAAGUAGAUUUCCUCCAGAGUGGAUCCUGAGUACGGCGGAACACGUGAAAUUCCGUCGGAAUCCGGGAGGACCAUCUCCCAAGGCUAAAUACUUCCUAGUGACCGAUAGUGAACCAGUACCGUGAGGGAAAGGUGAAAAGCACCCCGGAAGGGGAGUGAAAGAGAUCCUGAAACCGUGUGCCUACAAGUAGUCGAAGCCCGUU
rnacentral:rRNA from 1 species